rnacentral:rRNA from 1 species
AGGGUUCGAUCAUGGCUCAGAACGUACGCUGGCGGCACGCCUAACACAUGCAAGUCGAACGAAGUAGCAAUACUUAGUGGCAGACGGGUGAGCAACAUGUAGGUAUCUGCCCUUUGGCCUGGAAUAACACGAGGAAACUUGUGCUAAUACCGGAUAAGUCUUUACGGAGAAAGCUUUAUGCACCAUUGGAUGAGCCUGCAUUUGAUUAGUUUGUUGGUGGGGUAAUGGCCUACCAAGACUGUGAUCAAUAGCUGAUUUGAGAGGAUGAUCAGCCACAUUGGGACUGAGACACGGCCCAAACUCCUACGGGAGGCAGCAGUGGGGAAUCUUGCACAAUGGAGGAAACUCUGAUGCAGCGAUGCCGCGUGAGUGAAGAAGGCCCUUGGGUUGUAAAGCUCUUUCGUCGGGGAAGAAAAUGACUGUACCCGAAUAAGAAGGCCCGGCUAACUUCGUGCCAGCAGCCGCGGUAAUACGAAGGGACCUAGCGUAGUUCGGAAUUACUGGGCUUAAAGAGUUCGUAGGUGGUUGAAAAAGUUGGUGGUGAAAUCCCAGAGCUUAACUCUGGAACUGCCAUCAAAACUUUUCAGCUAGAGUAUGAUAGAGGAAAGCAGAAUUUCUAGUGUAGAGGUGAAAUUCGUAGAUAUUAGAAAGAAUACCAAUUGCGAAGGCAGCUUUCUGGAUCAUUACUGACAUUGAGGAACGAAAGCAUGGGUAGCGAAGAGGAUUAGAUACCCUCGUAGUCCAUGCCGUAAACGAUGUGUGUUAGACGUUGGAAAUUUAUUUUCAGUGUCGCAGCGAAAGCGAUAAACACACCGCCUGGGGAGUACGACCGCAAGGUUAAAACUCAAAUGAAUUGACGGGGACCCGCACAAGUAGUGGAGCAUGUGGUUUAAUUCGAAGAUACGCGCAGAACCUUACCAACACUUGACAUGUUCGUCGCGACUUUAAGAGAUUAAAGUUUUCGGUUCGGCCGGACGAAACACAGGUGCUGCAUGGCUGUCGUCAGCUCGUGUCGUGAGAUGUUGGGUUAAGUCCCGCAACGAGCGCAACCCUCACUUUUAGUUGCCAUCAUUAAGUUGGGCACUCUGAAAGAACUGCCAGUGAUAAGCUGGAGGAAGGUGGGGAUGACGUCAAGUCCUCAUGGCCCUUACGUGUUGGGCUACACACGUGCUACAAUGGUAUCUACAACAGGAAGCAAGACGGCGGCGUCAAGCAAAUCCUUAAAAGAUACCUCAGUUCGGAUUGCACUCUGCAACUCGAGUGCAUGAAGCUGGAAUUACUAGUAAUCGUGGAUCAGCGUGCCACGGUGAAUGCGUUCCCGGGCCUUGUACACACCGCCCGUCACACCAUGGGAGUUGGUUCUACCUUAAGGCAAGGUUUAAAACCCUUGACCACGGUAUAGUCAGCGACUGGGGUGAAGUCGUAACAAGGUAGCCAAGGG